rnacentral:rRNA from 1 species
UAGGUCUCAGUUCGGAUUGUAGGCUGCAACCCGCCCUGCACGAAGUUGGAAUUGCUAGUAAUCGCGGAUCAGCAUGCCGCGGUGAAUACGUUCCCGGGCCUUGUACACACCGCCCGUCACACCAUGGGAGCCGGUAAUACCCGAAGUCAGUAGCCUAACCGCAAGGAGGGCGCUGCCGAAGGUAGGAUUGGCGACUGGGGUGAAGUCGUAACAAGGUACC